AGCAUCAUUUACCUACACAAAUCAUAACAUAUUCAUUCCCUCAACCAAAAACCAAAAAUUCUAUCAUCUCCAUUUCUCGAUCUUUAUUAUUCUACAAAAAAUAAAAUCAAUAAAUAUUUUCAUAUAUAUAUAUAUAUGGGUUUGUUGACACACGUACGUCUGUUUUUCAGUUGGUACAUUUUAAAGAUGUGUACCGGAUUAUAGUAGACAAAAAUACUCUCAUUUAUAUUUUGGAUUCUAAGUUUUAAGGUCAAAGAUAUUUAAAUAAUUUUCAUUCUCAAAACUAAAAAAAAAAAAAGAAAAAAAGAAACUCUCAAACCCUUAUUUACCUCUCUCAUUCCUCUCAAUUUUUCUUUCAUCUCUCUCACUCGAACAUUUUCUAUGUCAUCUCUACUGUAGCCCU
rnacentral:lncRNA from 1 species